GGGGUUGUGGUUCAGCAGUAGAGUGUGCACCUCUCAUGUGUGAGACCCUGAGUUCGAUCCUCAGCACCA
rnacentral:tRNA from 1 species